rnacentral:misc_RNA from 1 species
CAAAUUUGAAGGCCCAAUAUUAGCCUGCCGACAACUGCGCGUACAAGCACGCGCUGAAACGCUCGAUAGUCUUUUUGGGAUAUAACAAACCUCUGUUCGCCGUCUUCCAUCAAUCGAUCGAUUUUUAAUUUUUUGUGUUUCCGAUGAAUCUUCCGAUGCGUUGCAGUUUUUAAACUCGAUCGGAAUUCAAGUUCCUUUAUCCCUUCCCCUACAAAUUCAAUUAUUAUUUUUCAGAUAUUUGAUCAUCGGCGUCGGUCAGGCGAAUUCCAGCUCCGAUCACAUUCCGGUGUGAGCUGG